rnacentral:rRNA from 1 species
CAGCCGCCACGGUAAUACGUAGGGUGCGAGCGUUAAUCGGAAUUACUGGGCGUAAAGCGUGCGCAGGCGGUUCGUUAAGACAGAUGUGAAAUCACCGGGCUUAACCUGGGAACUGCAUUUGUGACUGACGGGCUAGAGUAUGGCAGAGGGGGGUAGAAUUCCACGUGUAGCAGUGAAAUGCGUAGAGAUGUGGAGGAAUACCGAUGGCGAAGGCAGCCCCCUGGGCCAAUACUGACGCUCAUGCACGAAAGCGUGGGGAGCAAACAGGAUUAGAUACCCCCGUAGUCCCUGUCUCUUAUAC